rnacentral:rRNA from 1 species
GUCCUUAGUUACCAGCACGUUAUGGUGGGCACUCUAAGGAGACUGCCGGUGGACAAACCGGAGGAAGGUGGGGGAAUGACGUCAAGUCAUCAUGGCCCUUACGGCCUGGGCUACACACGUGCUACAAUGGCCGGCACAACGGGAAGCGAGUUCGCGAGGACGAGCGGAUCCCUCAAAGCCGGUCGCAGUUCGGAUUGAAGUCUGCAACUCGACUUCAUGAAGCUGGAAUCGCUAGUAAUCGUGGAUCAGCCAAGCCGCGGUGAAUACGUUCCCGGGCCUU